CUUUUAUGGAGCUUUGCAUCAGGUCUGGCUGUGGGAGGCGUCUUGUGUGCAGCAACAUUUCUCUUCAGUCUCUGCAAAACUGAGAAACAGAAAUCCAGCAGUUUCCUUGCAGCAGCUGGGAUAAGUACGGCUGAUUGUGAUGAAAUCUACACCACUGUUAUCUAUUGUGAUUACAAAACUGAUACUUGAGUGAUAAUACAUCAGCUGAGACACCAUGAAUGCAGCGCUUCAAAAACAACUGUUCUUUUUUUAAUUAAAUCUUGAAUUAUUUUCACUCUAUUUAAUUUACAGCCAUCUGUUAAUCUCUUUCAUUUUUAAAUAUGCCAAAGUUUUAUCUCAGUAAUGAUCUUCAUGAGUCUCGUAAGCAUUUUAUUAGAGUGUCAUAGAAAUAGAAAUGAACAAAUUGAUUACAAGACGAUGCAUUUUUACUCACAGUCUAAAUCCUUGGUGUUAAAGAAAGAUGACCAAUGAUUGGAGAUGGUAGAUGAGAAAACUCUUCUGUUGAAAUAUGACAAAUUAUCUCAGUAAAAAAGGAUUAAAAUAAAAACAAA